GGCUCCGUGGCGCAACUGAAUAGCGCAUCAGAUUUCGGCUCUGAGGGUUGGGGGUUUGAAUCCCUCCGGGGUCACAA
rnacentral:tRNA from 3 species